AUCCGGCCGCGCGGAGCCGGCACGCCGGUCUCCGGCUCCGGCCCGGCGUCGGCAGGGCCGCCCGGCUCGACCGGCCGGGUGCC
rnacentral:tRNA from 1 species